GAUGAACGCUAGCUACAGGCUUAACACAUGCAAGUCGAGGGGAAACGACAUCGAAAGCUUGCUUUUGAUGGGCGUCGACCGGCGCACGGGUGAGUAACGCGUAUCCAACCUGCCCAUCACUUGGGGAUAACCUUGCGAAAGUAAGACUAAUACCCAAUGAUAUCUCUAGAAGACAUCUGAAAGAGAUUAUAGAUUUAUCGGUGAUGGAUGGGGAUGCGUCUGAUUAGCUUGUUGGCGGGGUAACGGCCCACCAAGGCAACGAUCAGUAGGGGUUCUGAGAGGAAGGUCCCCAACAUUGGAACUGAGACACGGUCCAAACUCCUACGGGAGGCAGGAGUGAGGAAGAUAGGUCAAUGGGCGAGAGCCUGAACCAGCCAAGUAGCGUGCAGGAAGACGGCCCUAUGGGUUGUAAACUGCUUUUAUAAGGGAAUAAAGUGAGAGUCGUGACUCUUUUUGUAUGUACCUUAUGAAUAAGGACCGGCUAAUUCCGUG
rnacentral:rRNA from 1 species